rnacentral:rRNA from 1 species
GAUGAACGCUAGCUACAGGCUUAACACAUGCAAGUCGAGGGGCAGCGCAGUGUAGCAAUACAUGGGCGGCGACCGGCGCACGGGUGCGUAACGCGUAUCCAACCUUCCCGAUAUGUCAUAUAAGUAGAUUAUAUGAUGAAAGAUUUAUCGGUUAUGGAUGGGGAUGCGUAAGAUUAGGUAGUAGGCGGGGUAACGGCCCACCUAGCCGACGAUCUUUAGGGGUUCUGAGAGGAAGGUCCCCCACACUGGUACUGAGACACGGACCAGACUCCUACGGGAGGCAGCAGUGAGGAAUAUUGGUCAAUGGGCGGAAGCCUGAACCAGCCAAGUAGCGUGAAGGAUUACAGCCCUACGGGUUUUAAACUUCUUUUAUAUAAGAGUAAUGUGGUCUACGUGUAGAUUAUUGCAAGUAUUAUAUGAAUAAGCAUCGGCUAACUCCGUG